rnacentral:lncRNA from 1 species
AUCUGAAACCCCUUGUCCCAAAAAAAAAAGCAGAUAUGAAACCCAAAUUAAUUCUUGAUAUUUUUAUACCGAGACAAAAUAUUCCAUUAUUAUAAUGAAUGGAAGACUGGUUUGUCUCCGGUAUAAAUAUGUCAGGGAAUUAAUUUAGAUUUUUAUUAUUAUUGACUUGAUAAAAUUUGUGACAGAUCAAAAUAUAUUUUCAGUAAAAUAUUGUUUUAAAAUAUAAUUUGUUUGUUCAAAAUCCAAUAGAUUUAAUCAACUAAUUAAGUGCAUUCGGUAGUGAUUUCCUUAAAUCCAAUUCCCAAAACUAUCAAAUUUACAUGUAGUCGGAUUAUAUGCGAUCAAUAAUUCUAAAUCAUCUAAUUAAAAUCAGACAGUUCAGAUCUUAAGAUAAUUUUUUUUUAUUUAAUAUAAAAUUGAGAUUGCAUCAGAACCUUGAUAGUCUAAGACUUACUAACUAUAUAUGACUACACCAUUUUUCCACCGCACAUAAUUCACGUCUAAAACCUAUAAAGUCCCGAUACUCGUCUGAUACUUUUCGAUACACGUAUCAGAGAAGUAUCGGCAAUUAAUAUUAUUUU